rnacentral:rRNA from 1 species
UACGUAGGGUGCAAGCGUUGUCCGGAAUUAUUGGGCGUAAAGAGCUCGUAGGCGGUUUGUCGCGUCGGUUGUGAAAGCCCGGGGCUUAACCCUGGGUCUGCAGUCGAUACGGGCAGGCUAGAGUUCGGUAGGGGAGACUGGAAUUCCUGGUGUAGCGGUGAAAUGCGCAGAUAUCAGGAGGAACACCGUGUGAAGGCGGCUCUGG